ACGUAGGUGGCGAGCGUUAUCCGGAAUUAUUGGGCGUAAAGAGCGCGCAGGUGGUUGAUUAAGUCUGAUGUGAAAGCCCACGGCUUAACCGUGGAGGGUCAUUGGAAACUGGUCGACUUGAGUGCAGAAGAGGGAAGUGGAAUUCCAUGUGUAGCGGUGAGAUGUGUAGAGAUAUGGAGGGACACCAGUGGGGAGGGCGGGUACCGGGUCUGUAACUGCCACUGAGUCGCGAAAGUGUGGUGAGCAAACAG
rnacentral:rRNA from 1 species